rnacentral:rRNA from 1 species
UACGUAGGGUGCAAGCGUUGUCCGGAAUUAUUGGGCGUAAAGAGCUCGUAGGCGGUCUGUCACGUCUGCUGUGAAAACUCAGGGCUUAACCCUGAGCUUGCAGUGGGUACGGGCAGGCUAGAGUGCGGUAGGGGAGACUGGAAUUCCUGGUGUAGCGGUGAAAUGCGCAGAUAUCAGGAGGAACACCGGUGGCGAAGGCGGGUCUCUGGGCCGUAACUGACGCUGAGGAGCGAAAGCAUGGGGAGCGAACAGG